rnacentral:rRNA from 1 species
GAUGAACGCUGGCGGCGUGCCUAAUACAUGCAAGUCGAGCGAACAGACGAGGAGCUUGCUCCUCUGACGUUAGCGGCGGACGGGUGAGUAACACGUGGAUAACCUACCUAUAAGACUGGGAUAACUUCGGGAAACCGGAGCUAAUACCGGAUAAUAUAUUGAACCGCAUGGUUCAAUAGUGAAAGACGGUUUUGCUGGCAGUUAUAGAUGGAUCCGCGCCGCAUUAGCUAGUUGGUAAUGUAACGGCUUACCAAGGCAACGAUGCGUAGCCGACCUGAGAGGGUGGCCGGGCACCAGACGACUGAGAGACGGAGCAGUCGGGAACCGUCCGCAACGGUGGAAAGCAUUACACAGUAGGCGGGCGCGUGAUGUGACAGCGCUGCGUUCGGGAAGACCUCUUUCGAGGGGUAAACCAAUGUGGCAGUAACUGUGCAGUGAUUGACGGUACUGAGUAAGAAAGCCCCGGCUAACUACGUG